AUAGGUAAUAGCAUGGUUUCAAGUGCAAUUUGGAUAUAACAUGCACAAGUGAGUUUUUCAAAGACCUCAAAAUAGCACGAGUCCGAAAAACCAGUGCUAUUUGAGGUCUUUGAAAAACUCACGAGUGCAUGUUUAUCCAAAUUUCAUGAGAAACCAUGCUAUUACUUAU